AUCCGUACGAGCGCACCCCUUGUCCUUAGUUACCAUCAUUAAGUUGGGGACUCUAAGGAGACUGCCGGUGACAAACCGGAGGAAGGCGGGGACGACGUCAAGUCAUCAUGGCCCUUACGAGUAGGGCUACACACGUGCUACAAUGGCCAGUACAGAGGGUUGCAAUGCCGCGAGGUGGAGCUAAUCCCACAAAGCUGGUCGUAGUCCGGAUUGGAGUCUGCAACUCGACUCCAUGAAGUCGGAAUCGCUAGUAAUCGUGAAUCAGAAUGUCACGGUGAAUACGUUCCCGGGCCUUGUACACACCGCCCGUCACACCAUGGGAGUGGGUUGCUCCAGAAGUAGAUAGCCUAACCUUCGGGAGGGCGUUUACCACGGAGUGAUUCAUGACUGGGGUGAAGUCGUAACAAGGUAGCCCUAGGGGAACCUGGGGCUGGAUCACCUCCUU
rnacentral:rRNA from 1 species